AUGAACGCUGGCGGCGUGCCUAAUACAUGCAAGUCGAGCGAACAGACGAGGAGCUUGCUCCUCUGACGUUAGCGGCGGACGGGUGAGUAACACGUGGAUAACCUACCUAUAAGACUGGGAUAACUUCGGGAAACCGGAGCUAAUACCGGAUAAUAUAUUGAACCGCAUGGUUCAAUAGUGAAAGACGGUUUUGCUGUCACUUAUAGAUGGAUCCGCGCCGCAUUAGCUAGUUGGUAAGGUAACGGCUUACCAAGGCAACGAUGCGUAGCCGACCUGAGAGGGUGAUCGGCCACACUGGAACUGAGACACGGUCCAGACUCCUACGGGAGGCAGCAGUAGGGAAUCUUCCGCAAUGGGCGAAAGCCUGACGGAGCAACGCCCCGUGAGUGAUGAAGGUCUUCGGAUCGUAAAAACUCUGUUAUUAGGGAAGAACAAAUGUGUAAGUAACUAUGCACGUCUUGACGGUACCUAAUCAGAAAGCCACGGCUAUCUACGUG
rnacentral:rRNA from 1 species